rnacentral:misc_RNA from 1 species
UAUAUAUAUAUUCACCUUGUAUGUACUUUUAAUCGUAUACGGUGCUUUAUGCCAAAACCAGAGCCUUAGGAUUGUUUAAGAGACAAGAUUUCUUUGUGAUAAUGAUAGAGUAAAUUAAUUGGGUAAGUGGAUAUUGCUUUCUGGAAUAGGAGAGAUUAUUAGGUGUACCAUAUUACAUAUUACAAGAGGGCAUACACUUUUGUGAGAGAGGGAGCACUCUUCGUUGGAAUAGAAUUGGGCUACUGUUUUACCAACUUAUGAGAUAUUCUUUUUACUUCUGGGUAUAUGAAAUCUUUCAUUUUUCUAUUUUUGACUUUUAACCUUUUUUUUUUGGCGGGAAUAUUCCUCCAUUUAUACUCUUUGGAUUGGUCGUCGAGGAGGAACAUAAAGUCAAUGUUUGGUUUUGUUCUGUGUUUCAAAAUGUUUAGUAUGUUGUCUAAUUACUUAUUUAUAGAUUUAUAUUUCUUGAUGGACUUAUUUAAUUUUCAAAUAUUAUGUAUUUUUGUACCUUUUAUUAGAUUCAACCUAUUAGCUUUGUUAUGUGUCAAUUUUGCACUGGUAAUUUUGUUAUUCAUCUUUUGAUUUCUUUUUCUUAUUGUUUUAAUAUUUGCUGAAUAUGAGUAUUUAACCAUACACAUACAUAAGUAGACUGUUUUAAGUCUUAUAUUAUUGGGUGGUUCAUCCUGCCUCUUUGCCCUUUUACGGAUUGGGUCCACCGGUUUAAGACUCUGAAAUAGAGUGGAUCACUGGCUCCCAAUAAUUUAUGUAUCUAAUGAUACUCAGUGAUCACCCUCUAAUAAGUUGCAUUUGUAUGAUGAUGGUGAUGCCUCAUUGCGUGGCAGUAACUUGAAAUUUAGCAUUGGUGUGUUUUAUUGUAGUUUUGAAUUAUAUUGUUAUAAUUCAGUUGAACACGGUUGGGGGCAUUAAUUAACUAGGGGAGAUAUGCCACUCUUGUGUAGGCAAGAGCGAAGCUAGGAAUUGAACGAAUGGAGUCAAAAAAAUUUUAUUUUGCCCAAUUCAGAGGAAAGAAAAAAAAGUUUUGACACCAAGUUUAAUAAGAAUUUGUAUUAAAUUUAAUUGUAUUAAAUUUAAUUUUACACUAUAAUAUAUAACAAUGAUAUUUAUAAUUUUUUUACAAUUAUUAGGUGUCAAUUGUCAAAAUAAUAAGUGCAAUAAUGAUUAAUCUAUUAAAUAUGAAAUAAAAUACUAAAACAACAUAAGAGUAUAUGAAAUUGUUUUGUUUACUUUACCUAUGAGUCUUUAACUUGAUUCCUUAUUGUAGAAAAAUCAAACAAACAUGAAUUUGCAAUUGAUUGUAACAUUAAACAAAUAAAGUUUACCUACAACUAAAUACACAUGAAUAAUUAGAAAACCUUAAUUCUUCAUUAUUCAAUAGAAUAAUAGAAUAUGAAUUAUAAAAUACAAAAUAAAAUUUACUUUAUGAAAUUGAAUUUGUCCAUUAAUUUUAUUGACACAAAAAUGAAAAGGAAAAAAAAACAAAGCUAGUUGGUGGAGAAUGAGAGAAAGAAAUAAAAGAGAGAUAUGAGAGAGGGGAAAAAUUGUGGUUUUGUAAAUAUAAUAUGAGAAGGAGAAGAGAUGGAAGAAAGGGAAGAGUUAGAGAGAAGAAGAGGUGGUUGUGUCUUUUAGAGUUUUUAGCAGAUAAGUUUUGAAUUUUUUUUUUAGGUUUUAUUAUUUACUUUAAAACAUUAAAUUAAUAGGUGUUUAGAGUGAAGUGUCCAACAGGUCUAAGUUUAUUAAAUAUAAUAUUAUUUUAAAGAUUUUAGUGGAGUAAAAAAAUUAAUUGACCCCACUCAACAUAAGCAAAUCCACUGUUGUGUGUAGGGCCUCUAGGCCAUGGCACAAUAGGCCUUUUAUAUUAGAUCAAAAGAAACAUGACAGAAAAUUGUUUUGAACUAUUGCGACAUUUG